UCCAUUACAGCCAUAUCACCCUGCAGCCCAAGACUGGUUGCCCACUGAAGCUAAGCAGGGCUGAGCCUGGUCAGUACCUGGAUGGGAGACCUCUUGGGAAAACUAGGUUGCUGCUGGAA
rnacentral:rRNA from 1 species